UAAAAUAUAUUAUUAUUAUUAUUAUUAUUAUUAUUAUUAACUAGGAAUAAAGUAAAAGAAAGAAACAAAGAAGAAAAGAAACAGAAUAGCUAGAAAAGAAACAGAGAAAGAGACGAAAAACAGGGAAAGAAAGAAAGGAAAGAAAAGAAAAGGGGAAAUUGAGAUUUUUAAGCUUCAAGUUAAUUGCUAACAAAGAACUCGAGGCAUCGGCACACAAA